UCAUGUUGAGCUGUUGUGUCAACAGCUAUUUCUGUCACACUGGCUGACCAAAAAAGUAAAUUACAAAAUUGGAAUUCAUAUGUUCUUGAUUUAAACCUUAGAAAGUCGAUUUGUAGAACACAAUUUGCAGAUACAUUCAGUACAAUCAAAUCCUCCAAGUGAUUCACAUAUUAUAUAAAAAAUUCAAAAAAAUCUAGCAGGCUUAUUUUGCAAUAGACCGUAAGAUUACCGUUGAAUAUAAUCGUCAUUAUCAAUCUUUGAUACUACAUAAGUAUACUCACAGUCCAAAAUGUGUGGACCCUGCGGUGGCUGCUGUGGACCGAGCUGCGGGCCGUGCUGCCCUAACAUCACCAUAUAUACUUGCUGUACGAAGAUUUGCUAACAUCGCCGCUGGAAGGGAUGGCAUGGCAAUCUGUGGUGGCUUCCAUAGUGUCUUAGCAUAAUGUUUAUGUCAAUAGAUUUUGUGAAUAAAAGUUAAAAAGAU